GAUGAAGAACGUAGCGAAAUGCGAUAAGUAAUGCGAAUUGCAGAAUUCCAGUGAGUCAUCGAAUCUUUGAACGCACAUUGCGCCCGCCAGUAUUCUGGCGGGCAUGCCUGUUCGAGCGUCAUUACAACCCUCAGGCCCCCGGGCCUGGCGUUGGGGAUCGGCGGAAGCCCCCUGCGGGCACAACGCCGUCCCCCAAAUACAGUGGCGGUCCCGCCGCAGCUUCCAUUGCGUAGUAGCUAACACCUCGCAACUGGAGAGCGGCGCGGCCACGCCGUAAAACACCCAACUUCUGAAUGUUGACCUCGAAUCAGGUAGGAAUACCCGCUGAACUUAAGCAUAUCAAUAAGCGGAGGA
rnacentral:misc_RNA from 1 species